AACAAUGCUCAUCAAAGCAUUGCUUAAAUUGCAUAGACAUACUAUUGUGGAACUCAAUAAUUAAACGAUUCUCAAUGAAGUUUUGCUAAAUUGCAUAAACUUCUAAUGUGGAACUUAAGAAUGAAACAAUGCUCGUCAGAGCUUUGCUAAAUUACAUAGACUUCUAAUGUGGAACUCAAGAAUGAAACAAUGUUUAUCAAAGCUUUGCUUAAAUUGCAAAGACUACUUCUAUUGUUGAACUCAAGAAUUAAACAAUGCUCAUCAAUGCUUUGCUAAAUUGCAUAGACUUCCAAUGUCGCAACCAAGAAUGAAACAAUUCUCCUCUAAGCUUUGCUAAAUUGCAUAGACUUCUCUUGUGGAACUCAAGAAUGAAACAAUGCUCAUCAAAGCUUUGCUUAAAUUGAAUACUUCUAUUGUGGAACUCAAGAAUUAAACAAUGCUCAUCAAGGCUUUCCUGAAUUGCGAAGACUACUUCAAUUAUGGAACUCAAGAAUGAAACAAUGCUCAUCAAAGCUUUGCUUAAAUUCCAUAAAGGCAACUUCUAUUCUGGAACUCAAGAAUUAAACAAUGUUCAUCAAAGCUUUGCUAAACUGCGAAGACUACUUCUGUUGUGGAACUCUAGAAUUAAACAAUGCUCAUCAAAGCUUUUGUAAAUUGAGAAGACUACUUCUAUUGUGGAACUCUAGAAUUAAACAAUGUUCAUCGAAGCUUUGCUAAAUUGCAUACAUUUCUAAUGUGGAACUCUAGAAUGAAACAAUGCUCAUCAAAGGUUUUCUUAAAUUGCAUAGACUUUUAUUGUGGAACUCAAGAAUUAAACAAUGCUCUUCAAAGCUUUGCUAAAUUGUGAAGACUACUUCUAUUAUGGAACUCAAGAGUGAAACUAUGCUCAUCAAAACUUUGCUUAAAUUGCAUAGACUUCAAUUGUGGAACUCAAGAAUUUUAACAAUGCUCAUCAAAGCUUUGCUAAAUUGCGAAGACUACUUCUAUUGUGGAACUCAAGAAUCAAACAAUGCUCAUCAAAGCAUUGCUUAAAUUGCAUAGACAUACUAUUGUGGAACUCAAUAAUUAAACGAUGCUCAAUGAAGCUUUGCUAAGUUGCAUAAACUUCUAAUGUGGAACUUAAGAAUGAAAUAAUGCUCGUCAGAGCUUUGCUAAAUUACAUAGACUUCUAAUGUGGAACUCAAGAAUGAAACAAUGCUCAUCAAAGCUUUGCUUAAAUUGCAAAGACUACUUCUAUUGUUGAACUCAAGAAUUAAACAAUGCUCAUCAAUGCUUUGCUAAAUUGCAUAGACUUCCAAUGUGGCAACCAAGAAUGAAACAAUGCUCCUCUAAGCUUUGCUAAAUUGCGCAGACUUCUCUUGUGGAACUCAAGAAUGAAACAAUGCUCAUCAAAGCUUUGCUUAAAUUGAAUACUUCUAUUUUGGAACUUAAGAAUUAAACAAUGCUCAUCAAAGCUUUGCUGAAUUGCGAAGACUACUUCAAUUAUGGAACUCAAGAAUGAAACAAUGCUCAUCAAAGCUUUGCUUAAAUUCCAUAAAGGCAACUUCUAUUCUGGAACUCAAGAAUUAAACAAUGUUCAUCAAAGCUUUGCUAAAUUGCAAAGACUACUUCUGUUGUGGAACUCUAGAAUUAAACAAUGUUCAUCAAAGCUUUGCUAAAUUGCAUACAUUUCUAAUGGGGAACUCUAGAAUGAAACAAUGCUCAUCAAAGGUUUUCUUAAAUUGCAUAGACUUUUAUUGUGGAAAUCAAGAAUUAAACAAUGCUUAUCAAAGCUUUGCU
rnacentral:lncRNA from 1 species